UACAUGAUUAUUAACAAAUUCAAAAUAUUAUAAUUUAAAUUAAUUUACUUAUAAAUCCAACUUCAUUAACUAUUUUAAUUAAAUCCAAAAAUAGCUUUAUUGUAAUACAUUCUAACUUUAAUAUUAUCUGCACCUUGACCUGACUUAUAUUAUUCUUUAAAACCAAAAAUUUACUUUUAAACAUUCUUUUUAGACGGAGAUAUACAAAAUAAAUUAAUUAAAGUAAGAUUCUCGUGGACUAUCGAUUUUAGAAUAUAUUCCUCUAAUUAGAAUAAACACCGCCAAAUCCUUUAAGUUUCCUGAUCAUAACAUUUACUACUCAAAAUAAAACUACAUUAAAAA
rnacentral:rRNA from 1 species